AGCGCUGUAGAGUAAAGGUAGCUUACGGGACUCAUUCUCCCGAGAUUCAGGUUCGAAUCCUGACGGCGCAA
rnacentral:tRNA from 1 species